GACGAACGCUGGCGGCGUGCCUAAUACAUGCAAGUCGAACGAACUCUGGUAUUGAUUGGUGCUUGCAUCAUGAUUUACAUUUGAGUGAGUGGCGAACUGGUGAGUAACACGUGGGAAACCUGCCCAGAAGCGGGGGAUAACACCUGGAAACAGAUGCUAAUACCGCAUAACAACUUGGACCGCAUGGUCCGAGCUUGAAAGAUGGCUUCGGCUAUCACUUUUGGAUGGUCCCGCGGCGUAUUAGCUAGAUGGUGGGGUAACGGCUCACCAUGGCAAUGAUACGUAGCCGACCUGAGAGGGUAAUCGGCCACAUUGGGACUGAGACACGGCCCAAACUCCUACGGGAGGCAGCAGUAGGGAAUCUUCCACAAUGGACGAAAGUCUGAUGGAGCAACGCCGCGUGAGUGAAGAAGGGUUUCGGCUCGUAAAACUCUGUUGUUAAAGAAGAACAUAUCUGAGAGUAACUGUUCAGGUAUUGACGGUAUUUAACCAGAAAGCCACGGCUAACUACGUGCCAGCAGCCGCGGUAAUACGUAGGUGGCAAGCGUUGUCCGGAUUUAUUGGGCGUAAAGCGAGCGCAGGCGGUUUUUUAAGUCUGAUGUGAAAGCCUUCGGCUCAACCGAAGAAGUGCAUCGGAAACUGGGAAACUUGAGUGCAGAAGAGGACAGUGGAACUCCAUGUGUAGCGGUGAAAUGCGUAGAUAUAUGGAAGAACACCAGUGGCGAAGGCGGCUGUCUGGUCUGUAACUGACGCUGAGGCUCGAAAGUAUGGGUAGCAAACAGGAUUAGAUACCCUGGUAGUCCAUACCGUAAACGAUGAAUGCUAAGUGUUGGAGGGUUUCCGCCCUUCAGUGCUGCAGCUAACGCAUUAAGCAUUCCGCCUGGGGAGUACGGCCGCAAGGCUGAAACUCAAAGGAAUUGACGGGGGCCCGCACAAGCGGUGGAGCAUGUGGUUUAAUUCGAAGCUACGCGAAGAACCUUACCAGGUCUUGACAUACUAUGCAAAUCUAAGAGAUUAGACGUUCCCUUCGGGGACAUGGAUACAGGUGGUGCAUGGUUGUCGUCAGCUCGUGUCGUGAGAUGUUGGGUUAAGUCCCGCAACGAGCGCAACCCUUAUUAUCAGUUGCCAGCAUUAAGUUGGGCACUCUGGUGAGACUGCCGGUGACAAACCGGAGGAAGGUGGGGGUGACGUCAAAUCAUCAUGCCCCUUAUGACCUGGGCUACACACGUGCUACAAUGGAUGGUACAACGAGUUGCGAACUCGCGAGAGUAAGCUAAUCUCUUAAAGCCAUUCUCAGUUCGGAUUGUAGGCUGCAACUCGCCUACAUGAAGUCGGAAUCGCUAGUAAUCGCGGAUCAGCAUGCCGCGGUGAAUACGUUCCCGGGCCUUGUACACACCGCCCGUCACACCAUGAGAGUUUGUAACACCCAAAGUCGGUGGGGUAACCUUUUAGGAACCAGCCGCCUAAGGUGGGACAGAUGAUUAGGGUG
rnacentral:rRNA from 2 species